UUCUUAGGCUGUGGCCUAUAUCUUUGCUUUUUUAGUAUAGUAUUGUGUAGCGCGCACGCGCGUUCCCUCCUCAACCUAACCUCAACUGCCCCUAACGGCUUUUCACGCCCUUCCGCGUGACCUACUGCGAUUUACCCUUCCCCCUCACUUUUAAAAGAGAGUGUGGUCAAAAGUUAGGGGACUUUUUCCCUUGGCUCUAUGUCAGGUCGUACUCCGUCUUGUAUAAACUUCUGUUCGUGGGCACCUGGGAGGGGCCUCGAGGAUCCUUCCUCUACUUCCCCGCACCCUCGAGUUUUAAUUCUUCAAACCGCCCGAACCCAUUUCACAUUUCUUAAAAGAAACACUGUACAGAGAGAUCAGUACCCCAGUCUUGCUUGGGCCCGGUCUCCAGCGUCUAACCUGGCAGAUGACGUCACAAUACGGGGUCAGACACGCUCUUGGAACUGCCUGGGGAAGGCGGGAUUACCCCAUCCCAUACAGGGAUCCGAGUUCGGUGACGCCAUUAGCGCGCGACCAGCCCGUGGAAGAGGAUCCUUGGUGUAUGAGAAAUGUGCUACUUCUGUUCGCGGCCUUCCGUGCCCUGCAGCCUUUACAGAGGUCUCUGCAAAUAGCACAAGGACGAGACAGGCAGGAGGCAUGCAGACUCAGGCACCCUCCACCUUAAGGAACUCUCAUGAAAGCCCACCCUGUGCCUUCUGCAGAUGGAAGUAGAUUGAGUCUUGAACUGAGUUGAUGGAAGAAGAAUUCAAAGAAGAUUUGAGCUCGGUUCAAAAGAAGGAAUUCACCCGUCAUUCCGGGGCUUGUACUCACUGAGAGGAAUGGCAGAUUCUACAUAUGCUACAUAAAUUGGGUUUUUUUUGGCCCAUCAAGGACAACUGAAUCAAAGCAAAUGCAUGGAUGAUGAUACUAUGUAUAGCUAUUGUUUGACAUUUGCAUAGGACCUAUUUAGGGCAGGAAGAUGAUCAUUCUGGCACCUUUUUACUUUCAUCCUUUUAUUUUGUACAUCUUCUGGGAGUUAGAAAAGCUAGAAAAUGAGAAUAUGUAAGGGAAAGAGCUAUAUCUCUUCACCUUUGCAAAUAACAAAAGCCUAGGAUUAGGGAAUGGUUUUGGAAUUGUGUCCAAAGUAACUCAGAUGAACUUUGGAAGAGUUUGGUAUUGAGAACAUCAUAACUGAAAUAAACAUAAUAAACACUGA